rnacentral:miRNA from 1 species
CGCCAGUAUCGGGUGGGUGA